ACUCCUGUCUCACUAGUGGCACCCAGCUGGCGGGGCCCUUGGGCAGUCACAGACCAGAGUGGAGCACACCCCCAGCCAGUCUCUUUCACCUGCUCACACAGCAGCCUGCAAGAGAGCCGCGGAAGCCUGGCUAAAAGCACGCCAUCCUUCCUCCUGUAGUGGAGCACCCCAGCCAGUUGUCAGCACAAUGGCACACCGGGGUGCACUGCCUUGCUUUCGCCUCUGCGUUGGAGUUUCAUGAAGAGCUAUAGGUGGGUCCAGCUGCUGGCUGGAUCCUUGCUCGCCAGCCGCCCACACGAGAGGGAUUCGAUGGCUGACGAUGGGGGUUUUCUAGGAUGAAGUCAAGUGGGGCGUGAUGGCAUCUGGAUUCUUCAUUCACGCAGAGGUCAGCAGCAGGUGAUGGAAGCAAAGGAUAUGUCAACCAGUGGAAAUAAAUGGAAAGUGAC